UUCGACGGGUAGCCGGCCUGAGAGGGCGACCGGCCACAUUGGGACUGAGAUACGGCCCAGACUCCUACGGGAGGCAGCAGUGGGGAAUAUUGCACAAUGGGCGCAAGCCUGAUGCAGCGACGCCGCGUGAGGGAUGGAGGCCUUCGGGUUGUAAACCUCUUUUGUUUGGGAGCAAGCCUUCGGGUGAGUGUACCUUUCGAAUAAGCGCCGGCUAACUACGUGCCAGCAGCCGCGGUAAUACGUAGGGCGCAAGCGUUAUCCGGAUUUAUUGGGCGUAAAGGGCUCGUAGGCGGCUCGUCGCGUCCGGUGUGAAAGUCCAUCGCUUAACGGUGGAUCUGCGCCGGGUACGGGCGGGCUGGAGUGCGGUAGGGGAGACUGGAAUUCCCGGUGUAACGGUG
rnacentral:rRNA from 1 species